UAUGGAGAGUUUGAUCCUGGCUCAGGACGAACGCUGGCGGCAUGCCUAAUACAUGCAAGUCGAGCGGAGUUGUUUUGGAAGCUUGCUUCCAAAACAACUUAGCGGCGGACGGGUGAGUAACACGUAGGUAACCUGCCUAUAAGACUGGGAUAACUACCGGAAACGGUAGCUAAUACCGGAUAAUUUGUUUCUUCUCAUGAAGAGACACUGAAAGGCGGAGUAAUCUGCCACUUAUAGAUGGGCCUGCGGCGCAUUAGCUAGUUGGUGAGGUAACGGCUCACCAAGGCGACGAUGCGU
rnacentral:rRNA from 1 species